GGCCCCACUCUGUGGGAGACAUACACGUCCCUCACUGUGGACAUCAGAUCUGGCUAUGCGCUUUGCUUCGGCUCAUCCAGAGUGAAGAAAUCACAGAAGCUCACAGUUACCGGCACGUGGUUCAGCCAUUGCUCCUUUGCUUUUGCUACAAGAAUGGCAUGUCCUGGAUGAGGAGUACAGAUGAAGAAUGAGCUCUGUGGGUUUAGGCCACCUAGACAGGAGGGAGGAACUCAGGACACCAAAUCCAGGUCCUCUGCCACCUUCCCCUGCACCCUAGGUUAUAUGCAGUGGCUGAGGGUGGGGAAACUGACUAUAGAGACCCUCCAUCGGGCGCUCAGCAUGGAUCUUCCUCAGCUGUUGUUAUUUCAGAUCCCUGACUUCAGCACCAGCUCCUCUUUAUCCGGAGUUCCAGCAGGAUCUGAGGGCUGAGAGAGGUAAAUAAAAUUCUGAGAAACAUCUGAAGCCGGUUCCUGGGGCUCCACUCAAGGCCCCUUAAUGCUGCCAUUCCCCGCAUACCUCACCACCCCCCAGCUCCCUUCACUGCACACUGCUCUGCAGAGGAAGGUCAUCAGUGUCUGGGAUGAAGAGCAUUGCAAAGGUCAUCAGUGUCUGGGUUGCAGAGCGUUGCCUGGCGCAAGCUGAUACCAGUGGGGAAGCCAGGAGGAAUGACAAACUUGAAGUCAUGGAAUUGGAUUGCAGCCCUGAUUUACCACCAACUACACAUGACCUUGAGAAAUCUCUUAACAUCUCUGAGCCUCUGGUGAGAAGAAAGCUGGCAGGCCAAGCUGGGAAGCCAAGAAAAGGCUGUUUCUAGUUCCAGUGAAUUUCAAUCCCUGUGCAUCCUGUGGACUGAGGCUCCAAUGCUUCCAAAACUCAAAGCACCUGCCAAAGCCAGCAGGUAGGUGAUUCCCCUCAACACAGCUGACUCAUCAAGCAAACUUCCGAAAGUCCAGGCAGAGCCGGAGGCUGAGGAGAGUAUUUGCACAUACUAUUUUCCUUAUGCCUGUAUUUUACUCUAAUUACUUUUGAUUGAUCCAUUGAUUCUUUUUUUCUUUUUGAGAUGGAGUCUCGCUCUGUCACCCAGGCUGGAGUUCAGUGGCACAAUCUUGGCUCACUACAACCUUCACCUCCUGGGCUCAGACAAUUCUCUGCCUCAGCCUCCUGAAUAGCUGGGAUUACAUGCUCCUGCCACCAUGCCUGGCUAAUUUUUGUAUUUUUAGUAGAGACGGGGUUUCACCAUCUUGGCCAGGCUGGUCUUGAACUCCUGACUUUGUGAUCCACCAACCUCGCCCUCCCAAAGUGCUGGGAUUAUAGGCGUGAGCCACCGGGCCCGGCCUGAUUCAUUCUUUUAUUCCUUCAGUACAAUUUUACUGAAUUCUCCCUCCAGGGCAGAUCUAACUUUUGUGGGGGCCUGAUUUAUAAUUUUUGCAAAGGCGGUUUCAUCCUUGCCAAGACUUCACUUGAAAAUGAGUCUAUCUCCCCCAUGACUGAUGAAUUCAUGGCACUUUUGUUGGGCUUUCUCCUCAAUGAGAUGAUAAGAAAGUUUGAGGACUACGGAAAGGACAAAAGCAUCUGUGGUACCACCAACCUGAUUCCUCCUUGUCCUUGUCGUGUUUGGUCUCAGUCAUUGUUCACAACAGGCAGCCCAGGGCUCUCGGCUCCAAGCGUCUGCCUGUGCAUUAGCCAUUGCUGCCCACCCCCAGGCCCUCCACUGUAGUACCCAAACCCCAAAACUGCCUACACGGCAAGGGCAGAGCCAGGCUGGGGAGAUGGAAUGCUACUCCGGGUCUGAGUGUGUCUGAAAAGACUGCAGGGCUUAUUCACCAGAAGCAUCAGAAGUAAAAGAAGUACUGAAUGGAAAGGAGCUGACUACUGGGAGAGGCCCAGGCCUGGCCGGAAGGACCAGCGAUGAGGGGUGGAUUGCCCCAGGACUCCAAAGUUGCACAUAGGUGGCAGCCCACCUUGGACGGUCCUCAGAGUUGGUACAGGAAGCAGAGACCCAAACCCUACCUGUAGGCCUGCAGUUCUCCUAUUUCCUCUGGCCAGAUCUGCAUCUCAUUUCUCAGGUCUCCUAUCUUUUUUCAUUACGGGCCAGGUCAUGGCAAUUUCCAGAAUUUAGUCCUCCCUCUGAUACUUCGGUUGUGGUUGCCGAUGGCAUGCCCAGGUGGGAGAGGGAGGCCAGGUGGCAGGUGCUGGUGCUGUUAGCAGUGCUGACCUGCCGUCUUGCUCCAGGGCUGCUGGAGGCCUGGCAGAGAUGCUCAGGAAACUCUUGACUCAGCUCAUGUGUGUGCCGUGGUCCUACUUGGGGAUGAACGCAAGGGAGCCUGGACAAAUUCCCAUUGAUGUAGUUGCUCACUGCAUAUGGCAUGUGUGUCUAGGAACACACGCGCACACACACACACACACACACACACACACACUUUCUUUUGUAAAAGAAUAAUACAAAGCUACAUGGCUAUAUGUAUAUGCAUAUAUAUAGACAUAGAUAUCAUAUGUUUAUAAUGCUUUAUAGUUUACAAGCAGUAGGAAUUGUGUGGGCACAGUGUCUUCUCUCUUCCUGCAACCCGGAUACAUUUUGCUUAGUUUGAGAUUAAUAAAUAGGAAGAGAGAGGCAGACAGAUGAUGCUUUCUAGUGAAAUGAGCAGAGUUAGAAGUAAAAUAGCCACGUGACUUUGGGCAAGUUAUUCAAGGCUGCAGCUUUCUUCUCUAUAAGAUGGGAUAAUAUAUUAUCUACUUGAGCAUACCUAGUGCCCAGAUCUUGGUUUCUAGUACUGUUCUCCAAUAAAAGGAACUAGGAUCCUUGGGAGAAAUAGCUGAUUCUAGGGCUGGGGCAGAAUGGAAGAUAAGCCUGGAAAGCUAAAAAUAAAUAAAUAAAUAAAUAAAAAAGCAAGUUGGUAUCAUAGAAGUGAAGAGUAAAAAAGUGGUUACUAGAGGCUGGUAAGGGUAAGGGGGAGGAGGAGAGACACAGAGGUUGGUUAAAGGACACAAAAUUACCCUAGAUAGGACUAAGUUUUAAUGUCCUAUAGCACUAGAGUUACUAUAAUAAAAAUAAUUUAUUAUAUAUUUUCAAAUAGCUAGAAGAGAGGACUUUGAAUGUUCCCAACACACAAAGCAAUGAUAAGUGUUUGAGGUGAUGGAUUUGCUAAUUACUCUGAUUUGAUCAUUAUACAUUUACACAUGUACUGAAAUAUCACACUGCACCCCAUACAUAUGUAUAAUUAUGUGUCAAUUAAAAAUAAUAGACAAAGAAAUAAAUCAAUCAAAGAUGAGCCUGGUGCAUCUUGGAGUAUCAGAAAGUAAGAAGGUACUAAAAAACAAAACAAAACAUCUAACCCCCAAUAAAGGUGGCGAUGGUGAUGGUGGCGGUAGGUGGGGGGCAUGAAUCUGCCAAAGGGACACAGGGGAGAGCUGAAAGGGCCAAAGUUGGAACAAUUUAAUCCUUUUCCCAUUUAGGAAAAAAAAGUGCAGCUCGCUGCCAGCGCUCAUUUAAUUUUAAAUAAACAUGCUCUUUGAGGCUAAAGCAAAUCUGACUGAUGUUCAAUAUGAAAAUAAAACAGAAAAACUGUUCUUGGAGUUAUUUCUAAACAGAACUAACAUCAGAAUUAUCUGAAUCAUCAGAAUUGUCUAUUUCAGAAAAAUCGGAUUCAUCAAAUGAAUCUUCGGCCAACAACUGUUCGAGAACUAUGUUAAUUAACCUCACAUGUAGGAAUCCUGUAUUUCCUAGGAUUUGACAUUUUCAGUGAUUGAGAAGUACUAUAUUUUGUAAAUGGAAAAACCACUACUAAAAACAGAAUGGUAUCAGUAGAACGAUGUCUUUUCUUUCCCAAUUCCAUAUACUAGAGGGAUCCGAAAAUAAUAAUAAAAGUGAGAUAUUUCGUGGCAAAGUUAUCUCGAGGUAAACGCUGCAGCUGCAAGCACCACCAGCGAAUAUUCCCGAGGCAAACGGGGAAAGGGUUAAG
rnacentral:lncRNA from 1 species